rnacentral:rRNA from 1 species
GACGAAGGGGCUAGCGUUGUUCGGAAUUACUGGGCGUAAAGCGAGUGUAGGUGGUUGUCCAAGUUGGAUGUGAAAGCCUUGAGCUCAACGUCAAGAAAUGCAUUCAGGACUGGGCGGCUAGAGGACCGGAGAGGAUAGUGGAAUUCCCAGUGUAGUGGUGAAAUACGUAGAGAUUGGGAAGAACACCAGUGGCGAAGGCGGCUAUCGUGGACGGUUUCUGACACUAAGACUCGAAAGCGUGGGAGCAAACAGG